rnacentral:rRNA from 1 species
UGGGCUUGAAAGGCCAGUAGUAGAAUCCUGAAAGGGAAACGACUCGUAAAGUCGAGAGCUGGUAC